CCUGUCUGAAUAUGGGGGGACCAUCCUCCAAGGCUAAAUACUCCUGACUGACCGAUAGUGAACCAGUACCGUGAGGGAAAGGCGAAAAGAACCCCGGCGAGGGGAGUGAAAAAGAACCUGAAACCGUGUACGUACAAGCAGUGGGAGCACGCUUAGGCGUGUGACUGCGUACCUUUUGUAUAAUGGGUCAGCGACUUAUAUUCUGUAGCAAGGUUAACCGAAUAGGGGAGCCGAAGGGAAACCGAGUCUUAACUGGGCGUUAAGUUGCAGGGUAUAGACCCGAAACCCGGUGAUCUAGCCAUGGGCAGGUUGAAGGUUGGGUAACACUAACUGGAGGACCGAACCGACUAAUGUUGAAAAAUUAGCGGAUGACUUGUGGCUGGGGGUGAAAGGCCAAUCAAACCGGGAGAUAGCUGGUUCUCCCCGAAAGCUAUUUAGGUAGCGCCUCGUGAAUUCAUCUCCGGGGGUAGAGCACUGUUUCGGCAAGGGGGUCAUCCCGACUUACCAACCCGAUGCAAACUGCGAAUACCGGAGAAUGUUAUCACGGGAGACACACGGCGGGUGCUAACGUCCGUCGUGAAGAGGGAAACAACCCAGACCGCCAGCUAAGGUCCCAAAGUCAUGGUUAAGUGGGAAACGAUGUGGGAAGGCCCAGACAGCCAGGAUGUU
rnacentral:rRNA from 1 species